rnacentral:lncRNA from 1 species
GUGGGGGGGAGCAAGACGUGCGCCCUGCUCCCCCCCACACACGCGGACUCUAAAAUGAAAGAUUAUUCAAAAAAGAAAAAAAUAGAGCGAGAGUGCACCGGGAGGCUGCAGCCCCGGGCUGGGGAAGCGCGGGCGGAGGGAAGCCAGGUAGAGUUGCUCCCGGACACCCUCCUCCGUACGCACACCCACUUCCCCUCCCCGCCGCCGCCGCGCUCGCUCCCCGCGUGUGGACGCCAGGGGCCGAAGUAAAAGCCCCGAGCCCGCGGCUGCGCUCGGGAAACUUUGCCCGAGGAGAGGACAGCAAAGAAAAAUCACCCGAAGUUGAGAGCUGAGCCUCCAAGUUACAGCUCCGCAGCGGGCGAGGGGAGGUGGGAGGGAGCGCACGGCAACGCGGAAUCCAGCCUAAGUUUGGAGGGCUGCGGGUCCGGAAGGGCAGCGCCCAAGUCUCCAGGAGCCCGCGCGGCCUGGAAAGAGGGGACCGGGGAGAGGCAGGCGGCGCAGGCCGGGGCCCGAGGGCGCCCCCAAGGCCGAGCCAGGGACCGGGAAUCUGAGCGCCCCGCCAAGCGACUGGGUCUGAAUGCAACUGAAAGCGCCGAGUCCCCGGCUCCUAAGGGUCGCAGAAAGAGAGCCCGAGGAAUAAAGAACGAGGAGCCAGAGUCUGGCCCCCGGAGGGGAGCGCCGGGGGCCUGGGCAAGAGAGGCACCGAGGCGUCCACCUCUCUGAGAGGCCGAGGACAAAGCGCGGGCAGUCCCGGGAGUCCCAGUCCCUGGGAAUGUGCUCACGGCGCCGCGGGAGGUCCCCGAGCCGGGUCCCUGGGAGGGACACACCCCCUCCCACUCCAGAGCAACUGCAAAAGCACAGAGGGAUGGGAAGAAAAUGUUUCUUACGGGCAGAGCACAACUGUUCCUGUGCUGUUACCCAGGGAAAGAGAAAAUGGGAAUGGAGAGAGAGCGACAGGCUCGCAGGAGCAGCGGGGAGACCACGGUGGUGAGAUGACCGCCUCGGGUCACCGCCGCGCUCCCCAGGCGCCGCCGGCCAAGGCGCACACCCAGGAGCCAGCAGCCCCCUCUCGCCUUUCUGCAGACGUUCCCUGGAAAUUAGGGAAGACCUGUUGGAAAUAAAACCCUGUCUCUUUAAUGCACACACGCACACACACGCGCGUGCUGCCGCUGUCAAAAAGCGGGCUUCACUCUGGCGUGGGAUACUUUCAGUUUUACGUAAAAUGUACAGCAACAGCACCCCCUGCGAUUGGAAAGUUUAUUCAGAAACGUGCCUGUAAAGUCCCCUGGCGCCUCCCGCCUCCCAGCCUCCCUGCCUGCCAGCACCACUCUGCAGCCGCCGCCGCCGCCGCCGGGGAGAUCGCAGUCCGAUUCCAAAUCUGGAAGGAGUUGGGGGGAGAGGAGAAUGGACUCAGGUCCAAGGGAGGUGCGGAGGGUGCAGGGUGGAGACGGGUCGCCAUGGCCCGCGAGACCCUGAGCUGCAGGUGGAUAUGUGUGAGUGUGUCUGCAGAGCGAGGAGCCCUCCUUCCCUCUCCUCGGAGCGGUUCCACAACCCCCGUCUUCUCAUCCCCCUCUUCAGUCUAAAGGGUGUCGCUUCCGUAAACUCACCCACCCGGUGGGGGGGCUUUAUUGUUUUAAGCGAGGGCCCCGGGCUUGCACGCGCUCACCCAUCCCGCAGCCCUGCCGGCAAGCGGCUGUUUAUUCCUGUUUCGUCUUAGUAAAGUUUCAAGUCUACUGUGUUAGAAAAUGACUGGCUUGCCUAGCUCGGCGGAGCUUCGGACCCCUCUAAGGAAGAAAAGGAGGUUUUGAUGCUCAACAUUGAGAGAGAUGUGGGCUGUACUGGGAUUGUGUCAAUGUGGUUUGUUGUUUGUUGUUGUUUCCCUCCAGUUUGUGGGAGGGAGACCUCAAAUUCUGUUUAAGAAGCGGGAGGAUUCACUAGAAGUUAAGCUCUGUAGCUUGUGUGUGACACCAUUUCCCCUUUUCACUGAGUUCUUCAGAGCAGGUCAGCAUCUCUAUUCCACCACAGUCUGCUUUUUGUCUUGUUAAACCAGCCUUGGAGUCACCAAAAGAAUGUCUUCUUGGGGGGUGGCGGGGGAGGACGACGUGGGGGACGGUUGGAGGGAAGGUGAAGAGAGGGAAGAAGAAAGUGCAACUGGGAGGCCUUUGAAAAAUAAAUAAAUAAAAGAAAAGCCCCUUCAGGUAACAAUAGUGAGCCAGAUUCUUUCAGAACCAAGCUUUUCAGAUUUGAAUAUUGUUCCCACCCGUCCAUAAAAGUCCAUCUAUAGAGAAGAUAUAUAAAUGAGCGAGUGAGUGUUGUGGAAAUAUAUAUAUAUGUAUGAUUUAUAUAUAAUGGUGUGUAUAAAGCUUUUCGGGGUUGGCUGUAGUGUAAAAAGUAAUGACUUUAUUACCUCUGAAAGGUUCUGUGGUUCACAUUUAACAGUCUUCUGAAUUACAAUUCAUUACACAAUUGUGUGCGCUCUGACGAUGGCACCCUAUCAGGGCUGCUAUCUGUGGCUAUUUCCAAUAAAUAACUGGCAACAUUUUAUUGAUUUUCCUUUUUAAAAAAAAACAUAGGAAAUUAAGCACUUAGUUACAAGUAGGUCUGCUAUGUUAUUGCACUUGUUUCAGAUUCCAGGGGGUUCCUUCCUAAACCACAUCUUAAAACAUACAUUAAAAAGCCAGUUUUGCAGCUGCUUUCCCUGGGUGCCAAAGGAGAGGUAAGCAGCGACGAUUCCCCGACAUAUAUUUAAUUUCACCAUCAUAAUAUGCCCAGGGUGAAAUGGGAAGUGCCCUCCGCUCCCGCCCCUCCCCCAGCCAGAUUUCACCCAGUCCAGAAAACCACGGCUGUGUGUCGGCAUUUGAUCCCUCCUGGUCGUCGACCCCCCUCCCCGGCCCCUGGUGCCCUCCCCUAGGGCGACAACCCCUCCCUCAGCACUGCUGGAUGCUCGCUAAAGAGCCCGAAAGUGGGGGAGGGGAGGGUUUGUAUGUGUGUUUAAAGAAAGAUGUGUCGUUUUAAGAGAUUUUAAAAUAUUACGUAAGUAUUGAUUAAUGAUGCAGGUGGUUUUGUAGAGGGGGUGAAAGGUCACUUUAAAUGCGCACACUUGGAUACACAAUAAGUAUAUUUACCUUUCCAGAAGUGGCUUUUAGAAAGUAAUAAAUUAUGACAACGUUAAAAUUAUUUUCUGGCCGUUCAGUUAACUUCGUUUGGGGCUGUAGAGCUGUUGCUGCUCCCAUUGAAAGGGUAAUUACGUUCCGUGGGCUCUUUCCCAAACCUUUGGUGACGACACUGCGUGUAAACUCCAGGCCAGCAGACGACCCCUCCCCUUCCCUCCUCCCCCUUUUUAUCUUGCCCGCGGAGGAGACGCCCCAGGACUUCCUGCAGUAUAUAUUCUGCCUCUGAUCUCCGUACUUAAUAGCCAAGUCCUAGUUUAUGCUUUAUAAUGUGUUGACAAGUUUUCUAACAGACUUUCUGAAAUAAUGCACAUAUAUUCACGUCGGUUAGAAAC